UACGUAGGGGGCUAGCGUUGUCCGGAAUCAUUGGGCGUAAAGAGCGCGUAGGCGGCCAGAUAAGUCCGGUGUGAAAGUCAAAGGCUCAACCUUUGAAUGCCGCUGGAAACUGUCUGGCUAGAGUCCGGAAGGGGCGAGUGGAACUCCUGGUGUAGCGGUGGAAUGCGCAGAUAUCAGGAAGAACACCAACGGCGAAGGCAGCUCGCUGGGACGGUACUGACGCUGAGGCGCGAAAGCUAGGGGAGCAAACGGG
rnacentral:rRNA from 1 species